GCGCAGGUGGCGAAAUUGGUAGACGCACUACCUUGAGGUGGUAGCCCCAGCAAUGGGAUGGAGGUUCGAGUCCUCUCCUGCGCACAA
rnacentral:tRNA from 1 species